rnacentral:rRNA from 1 species
GUAUGUGAAAUUUGCGGUACAGGUACAGAAGAUGAGUACCAUGCGGUUAUAGCAUGUACGAGGAGUGUUGCCCUCCGCCAAUCCAUGAGGACAUACUGGGACAUCCCUAGGGAAUCUGUACUUACAUACUCUGGUGGGGAUUGGCUACAACUGAUGCUACUGGGACAGCAUAAGGAGAUCAGAACUAAGUUGAUGCUAAUCAUGUGGCAGUCCUGGAACCUAAGAAACAAUGUGAUCCAUGGUGAUGGGAAACAAACG